GCCUCUCUAGCUCAGCCUGGAAGAGCGCCGUCGUGAAAAGGCGGGCGUCCCUGGUUCAAAUCCAGGGGGAGGCACCA
rnacentral:tRNA from 1 species